rnacentral:rRNA from 1 species
UAGUUUUUUUAGAAAUAAAUUUAAUUUACAAAUUUUUGAUUUUUAAUUUUUUUUUUAUAAAAAUUAAAAAAUUAUUUAUUUGAAUAUUUUUAGGGAUAAGCUUUAAGGUAAAUUAUUAAAAAUUUUGAAUAAUUAAGUUAAAAUGUAUGUGUAGAAUUAGCAAUCAUUGAUAAAUUUGUUAUAAAUUAUUUAUUUAUGAUUUAUUAUUUAUUUAAUUUUAAUUAAUUUAUAAAAAUUUUUUAUUUAAUUUUUGUUAAAAAGUAAUAAUGAUUUAAUUAGUAUAUAAAAUUGUUGUAUGUAUAUAUUGUUUUGGAAAGUUUAUAUAAAGAACUCGGCAAAUAAUUGGUAUAUUUAUACUCGCCUGUUUAACAAAAACAUGUCUUUUUGAGUUAAAUUUAAAGUCUGACCUGCCCACUGAAUAAAUUUUAAAUGGCCGCAGUAUUUUGACUGUGCAAAGGUAGCAUAAUCAUUAGUCUUUUAAUUGAAGGCUGGUAUGAAUGGUUGAACGAAGUAUAAUCUGUUUCAUAUGAAUUUAUAAUAGAAUUUUAUUUUUUAGUAAAAAAGCUAAAAUUUAAUUGAAAGACGAGAAGACCCUAUAAAUCUUUAUAUUUAAUAUUAUUUUAAUUUUUUGGAUUUAUUUUAUUUUUAUAAUAUUAAUUAUUUUGUUGGGGUGAUAUUAAAAUUAAACGAACUUUUAAUUGUUUAAAGAUCAUUAAUUUAUGAAUUGUUGAUCCAAUAUUUAUUGAUUAUAAGAUUAAGUUACUUUAGGGAUAACAGCGUAAUUUUUUUUGAGAGUUCAUAUCGACAUAAAAGUUUGCGACCUCGAUGUUGGAUUAAGGUAUAAUUUUGGGUGUAGCUGUUCAAAUAUUAAGUCUGUUCGACUUUUG